rnacentral:ncRNA from 1 species
GUACAUUCCAUAUGAAUAGAUGCCGAAACGGCUUAAAAGGGAAUCUGGUGUAAAACCAGAACUGUCCCCGCAACUGUAAGUGCUGAAAGUGCCUGAUAAACCACUGUGACUGAUGUUACGGGAAGGAUCAGAAACUGUUUGAAGCAUGAGUCAGGAGACCUGUCUAUUCAGUAACGUGCUA